rfam:Listeria welshimeri serovar 6b str. SLCC5334 complete genome
UCUUAUAAACAAAUAUCCUUAUUCAGGAAUGUUACCUAAUUUGGGCAUAACCUAGAUAAAACGAAAAUUGGCUUUUGGGGCUGUUUUUUCGAUUUAU